UGUGUGUCUCUCAAGAAAGUAGCCAGAACAAAGAGUAUACAGCAAACAGCUCCUGAGGGAGAUCACACCUUUCACAUCCCUGAUUAGGUAUUUCAAAUGAGACAAAAUUUGGAAGAUGUCAAUGAAGAGAUCCAGAGUACUUGGUAUGAAUAAUGUACAGUCUUCCAAGCUUGCCAAAGUUUCAACCCAAAGUGAGUGUCUGUAAGACUCUGAACCCCUGGGGCCCUGAAGGUACGAAGGACAGAUGGGUCUCUGGCCCUUG